GCUAGCAAAUCAUAAAUGUACAAAUAAGUACAGCUUGAGCUUUAAUAAACAUUAAGAGAUGAAACUAUAAUUUCUAUCAUUGGCUUCUGCCAUAAUCUUUGUUAUGGCAAUUACGCACGCAGUUGAAGCAGAAGCAAUGGCCAUCUCCGAUGCUGAUGCAAAAAGUUUUUUUUAUUGCUGAAAGCCAACCAGUUAAGUGUUAAGGAAUUUACAAAAUGCGUACUCGACGUGAUAAAUAAAAUAAAGCUGCAUUUUUCGUAGAAUGAAAUUUAAAUGAAACAACCAAAAAACUGAGAAAAGCUUACAAUAAAAUGUGACAUUACAA